GAGGGUAUAGCUUGGUGGUAGAGUGCAUGCCUCGCAUGCUCAGGGUCCUGGGUUCAAUCCCCAGCACCUCCG
rnacentral:tRNA from 1 species